GGCGAACGGGUGAGUAACACGUAUCUAACCUACCAUUUAGUGGGGAAUAACUGUUGGAAACGACAGCUAAUACCGCAUAUGUUAUUUAUUUGCAAUGAUAAAUAAUGAAAGGAGCAUUUGCUUCGCUAAUUGAUGGGGAUGCGGCGCAUUAACUAGUUGGUAAGGUAAUGGCUUACCAAGGUAACGAUGCGUAGCCGAUCUGAGAGGAUGAACGGCCACAUUGGGACUGAGACACGGCCCAAACUUCUACGGAAGGCAGCAGUAGGGAAUUUUUCACAAUGGGCGAAAGCCUGAUGGAGCAAUGCCGCGUGACUGAUGAAGGUCUUCGGAUUGUAAAGGUCUGUUGUAAGGGAAGAAGUGCUAGAAUAGGAAAUGAUUUUAGUAUCGACCAUACCUUACC
rnacentral:rRNA from 1 species